CACAACAUGUUGGCAGCUCCUAUAAUGAGCUCAGCAGAUGUGCAGAUCCACCAGGUGUUUGCUAAUUGUUGCUGGCUAUUCUGAAGGAGCUGAUUGGGGGAGGUGCGGGGGAAGGCUGCUCUGUGAGACGGAAGCUUGGAAACUGCAGCUCUGAGAAGA